AUGAACGCUGGCGGCGUGCCUAAUACAUGCAAGUCGAGCGAACAGACGAGGAGCUUGCUCCUCUGACGUUAGCGGCGGACGGGUGAGUAACACGUGGAUAACCUACCUAUAAGACUGGGAUAACUUCGGGAAACCGGAGCUAAUACCGGAUAUAUAUUGAACCGCAUGGUUCAAUAGUGAAAGACGGUUUUGCUGUCACUUAUAGAUGGAUCCGCGCCGCAUUAGCUAGUUGGUAAGGUAACGGCUUACCAAGGCAACGAUGCGUAGCCGACCUGAGAGGGUGAUCGGCCACACUGGAACUGAGACACGGUCCAGACUCCUACGGGAGGCAGCAGUAGGGAAUCUUCCGCAAUGGGCGAAAGCCUGACGGAGCAACGCCGCGUGAGUGAUGAAGGUCUUCGGAUCGUAAAACUCUGUUAUUAGGGAAGAACAAAUGUGUAAGUAACUAUGCACGUCUUGACGGUACCUAAUCAGAAAGCCACGGCUAACUACGUG
rnacentral:rRNA from 1 species